GAUGAACGCUGGCGGCGUGCCUAAUACAUGCAAGUCGAGCGAACAGACGAGGAGCUUGCUCCUCUGACGUUAGCGGCGGACGGGUGAGUAACACGUGGAUAACCUACCUAUAAGACUGGGAUAACUUCGGGAAACCGGAGCUAAUACCGGAUAAUAUAUUGAACCGCAUGGUUCAAUAGUGAAAGACGGUUUUGCUGUCACUUAUAGAUGGAUCCGCGCCGCAUUAGCUAGUUGGUAAGGUAACGGCUUACCAAGGCAACGAUGCGUAGCCGACCUGAGAGGGUGAUCGGACACACUGGAACUGAGACACGGUCCAGACUCCUAAGGGAGGCAGCAGUAGGGAAUCUUCCGCAAUGGGCGAAAGCCUGACGGAGCAACGCCGCGUGAGUGAUGAAGGUCUUCGGAUCGUAAAACUCUGUUAUUAGGGAAGAACAAAUGUGUAAGUAACUAUGCACGUCUUGACGGUACCUAAUCAGAAAGCCACGGCUAACUACGUG
rnacentral:rRNA from 1 species